rnacentral:rRNA from 1 species
UGUGAUGACGAGGCACUACGGUGCUGAAGUAACAAAUGCCCUGCUUCCAGGAAAAGCCUCUAAGCAUCAGGUAACAUCAAAUCGUACCCCAAACCGACACAGGUGGUCAGGUAGAGAAUACCAAGGCGCUUGAGAGAACUCGGGUGAAGGAACUAGGCAAAAUGGUGCCGUAACUUCGGGAGAAGGCACGCUGGUGUGUAGGUGAAGCCCCUGCGGGUGGAGCUGAGACCAGUCGAAGAUACCAGCUGGCUGCAACUGUUUAUUAAAAACACAGCACUGUGCAAACACGAAAGU